UCAGGAUGUUUGCUGGCGGCGUGCCUAAUACAUGCAAGUCGAGCGAACAGACGAGGAGCUUGCUCCUCUGACGUUAGCGGCGGACGGGUGAGUAACACGUGGAUAACCUACCUAUAAGACUGGGAUAACUUCGGGAAACCGGAGCUAAUACCGGAUAACAUGUUGAACCGCAUGGUUCAACAGUGAAAGACGGUCUUGCUGUCACUUAUAGAUGGAUCCGCGCCGCAUUAGCUAGUUGGUAAGGUAACGGCUUACCAAGGCAACGAUGCGUAGCCGACCUGAGAGGGUGAUCGGCCACACUGGAACUGAGACACGGUCCAGACUCCUACGGGAGGCAGCAGUAGGGAAUCUUCCGCAAUGGGCGAAAGCCUGACGGAGCAACGCCGCGUGAGUGAAGAAGGUCUUCGGAUCGUAAAACUCUGUUAUUAGGGAAGAACAAAUGUGUAAGUAACUAUGCACGUCUUGACGGUACCUAAUCAGAAAGCCACGGCUAACUACGUGCCAGCAGCCGCGGUAAUACGUAGGUGGCAAGCGUUAUCCGGAAUUAUUGGGCGUAAAGCGCGCGUAGGCGGUUUUUUAAGUCUGAUGUGAAAGCCCACGGCUCAACCGUGGAGGGUCAUUGGAAACUGGAAAACUUGAGUGCAGAAGAGGAAAGUGGAAUUCCAUGUGUAGCGGUGAAAUGCGCAGAGAUAUGGAGGAACACCAGUGGCGAAGGCGACUUUCUGGUCUGUAACUGACGCUGAUGUGCGAAAGCGUGGGGAUCAAACAGGAUUAGAUACCCUGGUAGUCCACGCCGUAAACGAUGAGUGCUAAGUGUUAGGGGGUUUCCGCCCCUUAGUGCUGCAGCUAACGCAUAAGCACUCCGCCUGGGAGACUCCGACUUG
rnacentral:rRNA from 1 species